rnacentral:rRNA from 1 species
ACUGGCAGCUAGCUCUCUGCAACUCUCACAUGGUCGCCCACUGAAGCUAAGCAGGGCUGCGCCCGGUCAGUAUCUGGAUGGGAGACCACAUGGGAAAGCUAGGUUGCUGCCGGAA